rnacentral:rRNA from 1 species
CAGCAGCCGCGGGAAUACGAAGGGUGCAAGCGUUAAUCGGAAUUACUGGGCGUAAAGCGUGCGUAGGCGGUGAGUUAAGUCUGCUGUGAAAUCCCCGGGCCCAACCUGGGAAUGGCAGUGGAUACUGGCUCGCUAGAGUGUGUCAGAGGAUGGUGGAAUUCCCGGUGUAGCGGUGAAAUGCGUAGAGAUCGGGAGGAACAUCAGUGGCGAAGGCGGCCAUCUGGGACAACACUGACGCUGAGGCACGAAAGCGUGGGGAGCAAACAGGAUUAGAUACCCCUGUAGUCCCUGUCUCUUAUAA